rnacentral:rRNA from 1 species
AUUGAACGCUGGCGGCAGGCCUAACACAUGCAAGUCGAGCAGCAGCGGGAAGUAGCUUGCUACUUUGCCGGCGAGCGGCGGACGGGUGAGUAAUGUCUGGGAAACUGCCUGAUGGAGGGGGAUAACUACUGGAAACGGUAGCUAAUACCGCAUAACGUCGCAAGACCAAAGAGGGGGACCUUCGGGCCUCUUGCCAUCAGAUGUGCCCAGAUGGGAUUAGCUAGUAGGUGGGGUAAUGGCUCACCUAGGCGACGAUCCCUAGCUGGUCUGAGAGGAUGACCAGCCACACUGGAACUGAGACACGGUCCAGACGCCUACGGGAGGCAGCAGUGGGGAAUAUUGCACAAUGGGCGCAAGCCUGAUGCAGCCAUGCCGCGUGUAUGAAGAAGGCCGUCGGGUUGUAAAGUACUUUCAGCGGGGAGGAAGGUGUUGAGGUUAAUAACCUCAGCAAUUGACGUUGCCCGCAGAAGAAGCACCGGCUAACUCCGUGCCAGCCGCCGCCGUAAAAC